AAUCUGGGGUCUGGGUGAAACUGCAGCUCUGCUGGUAUCCAGGGACGUGAGGUUCCGGGGGACUGCGUUUCUCUGUGGCUUUCCAGGUCGGCAGGAGCCGGAGGAAAUGGGGUGCCAGAGCCGUGCCCCAUCAGGCCGUGUUUGCCUCUGAGGAACAGAGAGUCCGGGCUGAGGGAGAAGAGGACGAACUCCCAGCCAUUCAGGCCUGACAGUCCCCUGCAGCGAGAGCAUACACUGGAAGAGUUCAGGGUCGAAGACAAGGCUGAGGGAAAAUCCAGGGUAUUUAUAAGGGAUGAUGAGAGGUGGGUCCAGGGUGAGAAUCCAGUGGGUAAAGGGAAAAGUGGUGUAAGGGAGGAGUAAUACAGGGCAGGGGCCGAUAAGGUAGGAUGGGUGGAACAGUGCAGUGAACAUAAACCAAUGGGGGGGGGGGGGGGGGGGGGGUACAGGGAUACAAGAACUUUCCAGAGCUGGGAGGAGACAAGGGAUGACAUAACUGGGAAUAGAGGCAACCAAUGGGAAAUGAGGGUUAUAAAGCUUUACCUUAAAGCUUUACCAUAAAGAAUUUUUAAAACCUUUGACAACCUUCUUAGGAGCUAUUCUCAACUUAAACAAAUGCCCUCCAAGGUCUGGGGCCAUGGGCCAACUCCUCACCCAAAACACUGGUCUGGCUUGGCAUGUCAGCCAGUUCGAUUCCUACACUGGGCCUCUGCAUGAUAUUCGCCCAGAAGCUGCCUUUCAAGGACUGAAGUGGAACAAAAGGUAUAAAAGCAGUGUCAUUCCCAGAGGGAAAACAGUUUCAUUUCUCUUGUGUCUGCUUUUUUUUUUUUUUUUUUUUUUUUUUUUUUUUUUUUUUUUUUUUU